UACAGACAAGGAAAGUGAGGCUCAGAGGAAUUAAGUUUGCUAGCUCGAGGUGGAGCCAGAACUUGAACCCAGGCUUUAUGAUAGGCAGAGAUCAAGCCCUUGGUUCAUCAUCAAGGCUGCCUGCUGUGGUCAAGGGCUAGCUUGGUAUAGCUCCCCUCUUGGCCUGACAUUCUAGGGGCUGCCUCUGGUGACCAGCAAUAAGUGCUGUUCCGGGCUCAACUGAAGCUGGGGUUGCUCCAGAAAGACUUCUUGCUGUGGCACCACAUGGCAGAAGGCAUCACAUGAACUACGAGAGCUCAUUCCUGCCUCCACUUAAUGCCAGCAAACUACCUUUGGGCAUCCCAUGGCUCUCUGUGGAUCCUGACUACUUGCUGGUGUGGUCACCUGUUCCUUGUCAACAUUGCCACAUGCCACUGGCCAUCUGGACAUCCUCCACCACCCACAGCAGGUCCACUCCACCAACCUGCCCUCCCACAGUGCCAGCCUUGACACAUGGGCACAACUUGCACCCAGCUCUUGACCAAAACCAGCUGCUCUGCCAAGACACAAAAGGGACCCCUGCCGGAGUGAGGUCAUCUCGCUCUAGGACACAGUGUCCAGCUCAGACAGAACACCACCCACCAGCUUCCUGCUGA
rnacentral:lncRNA from 10 species